UAAAGAAUUAUCGCUGAUAGAUGGGCAUGCGUUCCAUUAGAUAGUUGGUGAGGUAACGGCUCACCAAGUCCACGAUGGAUAGGGGUUCUGAGAGGAAGGUCCACCACACUGGUACUGAGACACGGACCAGACUCCUACGGGAGGCAGCAGUGAGGAAUAUUGGUCAAUGGGCGAGAGCCUGAACCAGCCAAGUCGCGUGAAGGAUGAAGGAUCUAUGGUUUGUAAACUUCUUUUAUAUGGGAAUAAAGUGAGGAACGUGUUCCUUUUUGUAUGUACCAUAUGAAUAAGCAUCGGCUAACUCCGUGCCAGCAGCCGCGGUAAUACGGAGGAUGCGAGCGUUAUCCGGAUUUAUUGGGUUUAAAGGGUGCGUAGGUGGUUAAUUAAGUCAGCGGUGAAAGUUUGUGGCUCAACCAUAAAAUUGCCGUUGAAACUGGUUGACUUGAGUAUAUUUGAGGUAGGCGGAAUGCGUGGUGUAGCGGUGAAAUGCAUAGAUAUCACGCAGAACUCCGAUUGCGAAGGCAGCUUACUAAACUAUAACUGACACUGAAGCACGAAAGCGUGGGGAUCAAACAGGAUUAGAUACCCUGGUAGUCCACGCAGUAAACGAUG
rnacentral:rRNA from 1 species